rnacentral:rRNA from 1 species
ACAGUGAACGCUGGCGGUGCGCCUAACACAUGCAAGUCGAGUGGGUUAGACCCACGGCGAACGGCUGCGUAACACGUUGGUACUUGCCUCGAACUCAGGGAUAUCCCGCCGAAAGGCGGAGUAAUACCGGAUGAUCCCGCAAGGGUAAAGCUUUAGCGGUUCGAGAGAGGCCUGCGGCCUAUCAGGUAGUUGGUAAGGUAACGGCUUACCAAGCCUAUGACGGGUAGCUGAUCUGAGAGGAUGAUCAGCCAGAAUGGAACUGAGAACGGUCCAUACUCCUACGGGAGGCAGCAGUGAGGAAUCUUCCGCAAUGGGCGAAAGCCUGACGGAGCGACACCGCGUGAAGGAUGAAGCCCUUUUUGGGUGUAAACUUCUGUUCUGAGGGACGAAAUUUUUGACGGUACCUCAGGAGAAAGCACCGGCUAAUUCUGUGCCAGCAGCCGCGGUAAGACAGAAGGUGCAAGCGUUACUCGGAAUUACUGGGCGUAAAGCGUCUGCAGGUGACUCGCCACGUCUGAUAUAAAAGCACUGGAGCCUAACUCCGUGUCGUUAUUGGAAACGAGCGAGAUUGAGUCAUUCAGAGGCAUCUGGAAUGUCGUGUGUAGGGGUAAAAUCCGUAGAUCCACGAUGGAACGCCAAAAGCGAAGGCAGGAUGCUGGGAAUGUACUGACACUCAGAGACGAAAGCGUGGGGAGCAAAGGGGAUUAGAUACCCCCGUAGUCCACGCCCUAAACGAUGCGAGCUCGGUGUAGGAAUCUUCAAUAGAUCCUGUGCCUUAGCUAACGCGUUAAGCUCGCCGCCUGUGAAGUACGGCCGCAAGGCUAAAACAUAAAGGAAUAGACGGGGACCCACACAAGCGGUGGAGCAUGGGGUUUAAUUCGAUGACAAACGAAGGACCUCACCCAGGCUUGACAUCUAAGGAACCCCGCAGAAAUGCGGGGGUGCCGCAAGGAACCUUAAGACAGGCGAUGCACGGUCGUCGUCAGCUCGUGCCUUGAGGUGUACUGUUAAGUCAGCCAACGAGCGCAACCCUCAUCCUAUGUUGUUUUUUCAUGGGAGACUGCCGCCUCCAAGGCCGGGGGAAGGUGGGGAUGACGUCAGAUCAGCGUGUCCUUUAUGCCUGGGGCAACACCCAUGCUACAAUGGCCGGUACAGAGGGCAGCGAACCCGCGAGGGCAAGCAAAUCCCAAAAAACCGGUCUCAGUUCGGAUUGCAGGCUGCAACUCGCCUGCAUGAAGUUGGAAUCGCUAGUAACCGUAGUCAGCCAUACUACGGUGAUAUGUUCCUGGUCUGACUCACCG